UACGGAGGGGGCUAGCGUUGUUCGGAAUUACUGGGCGUAAAGCGCGCGUAGGCGGACCUGCAGGUCGGGGGGUGAAAGCCCGAGGCUCAACCUCGGAACUGCCUUCGAUACUGCGGGUCUCGAGUCCGGGAGAGGUGAGUGGAAUUCCUAGUGUAGAGGUGAAAUUCGUAGAUAUUAGGAAGAACACCAGUGGCGAAGGCGGCUCACUGGCCCGGUACUGACGCUGAGGCGCGAAAGCGUGGGGAGCAAACAGG
rnacentral:rRNA from 1 species